rnacentral:rRNA from 1 species
UAGGGAAUCUUCGGCAAUGGACGAAAGUCUGACCGAGCAACGCCGCGUGAGUGAAGAAGGUUUUCGGAUCGUAAAACUCUGUUGUUAGAGAAGAACAAGGACGUUAGUAACUGAACGUCCCCUGACGGUAUCUAACCAGAAAGCCACGGCUAACUACGUGCCAGCAGCCGCGGUAAUACGUAGGUGGCAAGCGUUGUACGGAUUUAUUGGGCGUAAAGCGAGCGCAGGCGGUUUCUUAAGUCUGAUGUGAAAGCCCCCGGCUCAACCGGGGAGGGUCAAUGGAAACUGGGAGACUUGAGUGCAGAAGAGGGGAGUGGAAUUCCAUGUGUAGCGGUGAAAUGCGUAGAUAUAUGGAGGAACACCAGUGGCGAAGGCGGCUCUCUAGUCUGUAACUGACGCUGAGGCUCGAAAGCGUGGGGAGCAAACAGG